rnacentral:rRNA from 1 species
UACGUAGGUGGCGAGCAUUGUCCGGAUUUACUGGGCGUAAAGCGCGCGCAGGCGGCUGUUCAAGUCCGAUGUGAAAUCUUCCGGCUUAACUGGAAAACGGCAUUGGAUACUGGACGGCUGGAAGGUGGGAGAGGGUAGCGGAAUUCCCGGUGUAGUGGUGAAAUGCGUAGAUAUCAAGAGGAACACCUGAGGUGAAGACGGGUUGCUGGGCCAACACUGACGCUGAGGCGCGAAAGCCAGGGGAGCAAACGGG